UACGGAGGAGGCAAGCGUUAUCCGGAAUUAUUGGGCGUAAAGCGUCCGCAGGUGGCACUUCAAGUCUGUCGUCAAAGACUGGGGCUUAACCCUGGAAAGGCGGUGGAAACUGAAGCGCUAGAGUGCGGUAGGGGUAGAGGGAAUUCCCGGUGUAGCGGUGAAAUGCGCAGAUAUCAGGAAGAACACCCGUGGCGAAGGCGGCUCUCUGGGACGGUACUGACGCUGAGACGCGAAAGCGUGGGGAGCGAACAGG
rnacentral:rRNA from 1 species